GAGAAAGUGAACGGGCCAAAGAAAUAGUAGAAAAUCGUGCAUCUGAAAGAUUUGAUGAAGUCCGGUGUGAUGUUAACACUUCGACGACAGCCUCAGAUUCGGUUGCAGUGAUGAGCUCUAAAGAGACUUCCAGCAGCUUUGGGGAGGAGAAACACAAGCAGGACACCGAUGAACCCUUCUGACUACACUCUCUUUCUCGCCAUUUCUAGGGACAUUUUCUAGAGCCUGGGGAUGGUAUUCUGGAAGCAUCAUCAGAGGAAGACAAGGCACGAGCCCAUUAGAAAAGACCUUACCAAGCUCUCCUAACCAUUGAUACUGCUAUGACACUAGAAGAUUUUGAGCCAUGGAUGCACAUCUCAGGCUCUCUUUGACAUCUAGUUCUGUACAGAUGCUGGAGACCUCCAAACCAAAUUGAUGAGAAAGAAAAGUACCUGACAUCGACAUAGACUGCUUCUACCCAAGAUGGAGGAUCAAGACUUCACUCUUAACUGAACAUGAAACAUUUUGUCCCUUCCCUUCCCUUCCCUUCCCUUC